UGGGGAAUAUUGCACAAUGGGGGAAACCCUGAUGCAGCGACGCCGCGUGAGCGAAGAAGGUUUUCGAAUCGUAAAGCUCUGUCCUAUGAGAAGAUAAUGACGGUAUCAUAGGAGGAAGCCCCGGCUAAUUCCGUGCCAGCAGCCGCGGUAAUACGGAAGGUCCAGGCGUUAUCCGGAUUUAUUGGGUUUAAAGGGAGCGUAGGCUGUCUAUUAAGCGUGUUGUGAAAUAUACCGGCUCAACCGGUGGCUUGCAGCGCGAACUGGUCGACUUGAGUAUGCAGGAAGUAGGCGGAAUUCAUGGUGUAGCGGUGAAAUGCUUAGAUAUCAUGACGAACUCCGAUUGCGCAGGCAGCUUACUGUAGCAUAACUGACGCUGAUGCUCGAAAGUGCGGGUAUCAAACAGG
rnacentral:rRNA from 1 species